ACCUGGACACUAGGAGCAAGGAUUGAAAGAGGGGGGAGAGUGGCCGAAGGUGACACAGAGGCGCCGACACACACACAGGACAGGACUGCUUUAUUUCUCUUCAUGCUGGUUUGGACACUUGUAGUAUGUAUGAGAAGCUAACCAUGCUGAACCUGCAGAGUGGCUCAAACUGGAGUGGGCCUAACAACUGGUACCAUGACCCUACUGGCGUCCAGACACAACACAGCACAGUGUCUGAGGGCUGUCUGCUGGACACGGAGGGCAG
rnacentral:lncRNA from 1 species